rnacentral:piRNA from 1 species
UCUUAUCUGUAAACAGAGGGCCGAGGU